rnacentral:rRNA from 1 species
GACGAACGCUGGCGGCGUGCUUAACACAUGCAAGUCGAACGAUGAUGCCAGCUUGCUGGUGGAUUAGUGGCGAACGGGUGAGUAACACGUGAGCAACCUGCCCCUGACUUCGGGAUAACCGCGGGAAACCGUGGCUAAUACCGGAUAUGACGCGCUAUCGCAUGGUGGUGUGUGGAAAGAUUUAUCGGUUGGGGAUGGGCUCGCGGCCUAUCAGCUUGUUGGUGGGGUGAUGGCCUACCAAGGCGACGACGGGUAGCCGGCCUGAGAGGGUGACCGGCCACACUGGGACUGAGACGCGGCCCAGACUCCUACGGGAGGCAGCAGUGGGGAAUAUUGCACAAUGGGCGCAAGCCUGAUGCAGCGACGCCGCGUGAGGGAUGACGGCCUUCGGGUUGUAAACCUCUUUCAGUAGGGAAGAAGGCCUUCGGGUUGACGGUACCUGCAGAAGAAGCGCCGGCUAACUACGUG